ACGGAGGGAGCUAGCGUUACUCGGAAUCACUGGGCGUAAAGGGCGUGUAGGCGGAUUGGAAAGUCAGGCGUGAAAUACCUCGGCUCAACCGAGGAAUUGCGUCUGAAACUUCCUUUCUUGAGUGUGGGAGGGGAGAGUGGAACUCCUGGUGGAGCGGUGAAAUGCGUAGAUAUCAGGAGGAACGCCGGUGGCGAAAGCGGCUCUCUGGUCCACUACUGACGCUGAGGCGCGAAAGCCAGGGGAGCAAACGG
rnacentral:rRNA from 1 species